rnacentral:rRNA from 1 species
AUUGAACGCUGGCGGCAUGCUUUACACAUGCAAGUCGAACGGUAGCAGGCCGCAAGGUGCUGACGAGUGGCGAACGGGUGAGUAAUGCAUCGGAACGUGCCCAGUCGUGGGGGAUAACUACUCGAAAGAGUAGCUAAUACCGCAUACGAUCUAUGGAUGAAAGCGGGGGACCGUAAGGCCUCGCGCGAUUGGAGCGGCCGAUGUCAGAUUAGGUAGUUGGUGGGGUAAAGGCUCACCAAGCCAACGAUCUGUAGCUGGUCUGAGAGGACGACCAGCCACACUGGGACUGCGACACGGCCCAGACUCCUACGGGAGGCAGCAGUGGGGAAUUUUGGACAAUGGGCGCAAGCCUGAUCCAGCAAUGCCGCGUGCAGGAAGAAGGCCUUCGGGUUGUAAACUGCUUUUGUACGGAACGAAACGGCUCUGGUUAAUACCCGGGGCUAAUGACGGUACCGUAAGAAUAAGCACCGGCUAACUACGUG